CCCUUAGAUGUUCUGGGCCGCACGCGCGCUUCACUGAUGCAUUCAACGAGUGUACCUUGGCCGAGAGGCCUGGGCAAUCUUUUGAACGUGCAUCGUGAUAGGGAUAGAUUAUUGCAAUUAUUAAUCUUGAACGAGGAAUUCCUAGUAAACGCAGAUCAUCAAUCUGCAUUGAUUACGUCCCUGCCCUUUGUACACACCGCCCGUCGCACCUACCGAUUGGAUGGUCCGGUGAAGCCUCGGGAUUGUGGCGGUUGCCUUUAUUGGUGGCCGCCGCGAGAACUUGUCUAAACCUUAUCAUCUAGAGGAAGGUGAAGUCGUAACA
rnacentral:rRNA from 1 species